CGGACGGGUGAGUAACGCGUGGGUAACCUGCCCCAUACAGGGGGAUAACAGCCGGAAACGGCUGCUAAUACCGCAUGUACAUGCGGGGGCGCAUGCCCCUGGAUGGAAAGCAUUAGCGGUAUGGGAUGGGCCCGCGUCUGAUUAGGCAGUUGGCGGGGUAACGGCCCACCAAACCAACGAUCAGUAGCUGGUCUGAGAGGACGACCAGCCACACUGGGACUGAGACACGGCCCAGACUCCUACGGGAGGCAGCAG
rnacentral:rRNA from 1 species